rnacentral:rRNA from 1 species
AAUAGAUACCCAGGUAGUCCACGCCGUAAACGAUGAGUGCUAAGUGUUAGAGGGUUUCCGCCCUUUAGUGCUGCAGCUAACGCAUUAAGCACUCCGCCUGGGGAGUACGGCCGCAAGGCUGAAACUCAAAGGAAUUGACGGGGGCCCGCACAAGCGGUGGAGCAUGUGGUUUAAUUCGAAGCAACGCGAAGAACCUUACCAGGUCUUGACAUCCUCUGCCAACCCUAGAGAUAGGGCGUUCCCCUUCGGGGGACAGAGUGACAGGUGGUGCAUGGUUGUCGUCAGCUCGUGUCGUGAGAUGUUGGGUUAAGUCCCGCAACGAGCGCAACCCUUGAUCUUAGUUGCCAGCAUUCAGUUGGGCACUCUAAGGUGACUGCCGGUGACAAACCGGAGGAAGGUGGGGAUGACGUCAAAUCAUCAUGCCCCUUAUGACCUGGGCUACACACGUGCUACAAUGGAUGGUACAAAGAGUUGCGAACCCGCGAGGGUAAGCCAAUCUCAUAAAGCCAUUCUCAGUUCGGAUUGUAGG